rnacentral:rRNA from 1 species
AACGAACGCUGGCGGCAGGCUUAACACAUGCAAGUCGAGCGAGGGCUUCGGCCCUAGCGGCGGACGGGUGAGUAACGCGUGGGAACGUGCCCUUCUCUCUGGAAUAGCCCUGGGAAACCGGGAGUAAUGCCGGAUACGCCCUCGGGGAAUGGCUCCUCGUGGGGAAAGAUUUAUCGGGGAAGGAUCGGCCCGCGUCGGAUUAGGUAGUUGGUGGGGUAACGGCCUACCAAGCCGACGAUCCGUAGCUGGUUUGAGAGGAUGAUCAGCCACACUGGGACUGAGCCACGCCCCAGCCUCACACGGGGGGAGGAGGGGGGAAAUUUGGAAAAAGGGGGGCAACCUUGACCCACCCAGGCGGGGGGAGGAGGGAGGGCUUUGGGGUUGAAAAUCUUUUUCGGGGGGGAAGAUAAGGACGGUCCCCGAAAAAGAGCCCCCGGCUACCCCGGUG